rnacentral:rRNA from 1 species
CACGUAGGGGGCGAGCGUUGUCCGGAUUUAUUGGGCGUAAAGAGCUCGUAGGCGGCUCGGUAAGUCGGGUGUGAAACCUCCAGGCUCAACCUGGAGACGCCACCUGAUACUGCUGUGGCUAGAGUCCGGUAGGGGAGUGGGGAAUUCCUGGUGUAGCGGUGAAAUGCGCAGAUAUCAGGAGGAACACCGGUGGCGAAGGCGCCACUCUGGGCCGAAACUGACGCUGAGGAGCGAAAGCGUGGGUAGCAAACAGG